rnacentral:ncRNA from 1 species
AGGCUGUUAGAUUUUCUUAAUGCUCUGUACGUUUCCCAGCAACUCGGCAACAGGACGUUGCCGAGAGUGAAAGCUGAGCCAUGGAUGGCGAAUCUUGAACGAUUGCGUCGAAUAUAAACCAACUUUAUCAGAACAUUUAGAAAAUCUUACAACCGAA